rnacentral:rRNA from 1 species
AUUGAACGCUGGCGGCGUGCUUAACACAUGCAAGUCGAUCGGUAACAGGUGUAGCAAUACAUGCUGACGAGAGGCGGACGGGUGAGUAAUGCUUGGGAAUCUGCCUAUUAGUGGGGGACAACCCGGGGAAACUCGGGCUAAUACCGCAUACGCUCUACGGAGGAAAGCCGGGGACCGCAAGGCCUGGCGCUAAUAGAUGAGCCCAAGUCGGAUUAGCUAGUUGGUAGGGUAACGGCCUACCAAGGCGACAAUCCGUAGCUGGUCUGAGAGGACGACCAGCCACACCGGAACUGAGACACGGUCCGGACUCCUACGGGAGGCAGCAGUGGGGAAUAUUGGACAAUGGGGGCAACCCUGAUCCAGCGACGCCGCGUGGGUGAAGAAGGCCUGCGGGUUGUAAAGCCCUUUCGGUGGGGAAGAAAGUCUCGACCUAAUACGUCGGGACCUUGACGUAACCCACUAAAGAAGCACCGGCUAACUCUGUGCCAGCAGCCGCCGUAAC